AACGAACGCUGGCGGCAGGCCUAACACAUGCAAGUCGAGCGAGGACUUCGGUUCUAGCGGCGGACGGGUGAGUAACGCGUGGGAACGUGCCCCUUGGUACGGAAUAGCCCCGGGAAACUGGGAGUAAUACCGUAUGAGCUCUACGGGGGAAAGAUUUAUCGCCAAGGGAUCGGCCCGCGUUGGAUUAGGUAGUUGGUGGGGUAAUGGCCUCCCAAGCCGACGAUCCAUAGCUGGUUUGAGAGGAUGAUCAGCCACACUGGGACUGAGACACGGCCCAGACUCCUACGGGAGGCAGCAGUGGGGAGUCUUAGACAAUGGGCGCAAGCCUCAUCUAGCCAUGCCGCGUGAGCGAUGAAGGCCUUAGGGUUGUAAAGCUCUUUCAGCUGGGAAGAUAAUGACUGUACCAGCAGAAGAAGCCCCGGCUAACUCCGUGCCAGCCGCCGCAGUAAGAC
rnacentral:rRNA from 1 species